rnacentral:lncRNA from 1 species
UCAUAGAUUGCUCACGUAUGCAUCACAUAACUACCUUAUGAUUUAGUUCAAAUCAAGCUCACAUAUAAACUUGGAGUACAUACCUGUUUAACCUUUCGCAUUGAAUAUAUUUAUAAGCAAUUCUUAUUGCGAAGUCUUAUAGCUUUAACCUCUACUCGGAUUAUCGGCGAAACCUUUAGCUCAGAUGAAAUCUCCACAUGAAGUCAGCGGGUCUUAACCCAGACAUAGUCACCACAUAUGGUCAUCUGGUCUUUAAUCCCAGGUUUACAUCAUAGAGUUUCAUGCAUAUUUAUUCACAUGUUACAACAUUCACAUCGACUAUCAUAUUUGUAAUUCAUUUACCUCAUCAAAUAUCUAAUAAAACACACCUUCCGCCGUCUGUCAUUUGGCCACAAUAUAGAUAUACACAUCUCAUACAUAUCUCACAUUAGCCAUUCGGCUUUACCUCAUAUCCAUCUCAUACACGUUUCGCAUUAGCCAUUCGGCUUUACCUCAUAUCCGUCCAUCUCAUACACGUUUCGCAUUAGCCAUUCGGCUUCGCCACAUAUAUACACUUCCACGUUCAUCACAUUGGCCAUUCUACCUUAUCACAUAUAUGCAUGUUCACAUUCAUCACAUUGGCCAUUCGGCCUUAUCACAUAUAUGCAUGUUCACAUUCAUCACAUUGGCCAUUCGGCCUUAUCAAACAUAUGCAAGUUCAAAUUCAUCGCAUUGGCCAUUCGGCCUUAUCACGUAUAUGCAUGUUCACAUUCAUCACAUUGGCCAUUCGGCCUUAUCACAUAUAUGCAUGUUCAUAUUCAUCUCAUAAAAUCCUAAAUCAAAAUAUAAGUUUUCAUGUAUUCACAUCACAAUUAUCCAAAUAUACUUCACAUACCACAUAUACUUUCACGUAUACACUUUGUCUUGGUUGAAUCUUUAUCUAUCAUUUUCCAAUGAAUAAUUCAAUUUCAUGCCAUACUAUUAUUUCAUAUUCGAAUACUUAUAACUUACAAUUUCACAAAUUUUAAUAUCAAAGAUCCAUCUAACACUCAUAUAUCAUUUUACAAUAUCACAAUUUAGAAUUCACGUAUGGGUUUAAUCAAUAGCUUAUGAGCAACUAAAACAAGUUUUAUCCAUGUUUACAACAUAACCACAAAUUCUCUACAAGCUGUUUUUCCUGAGCAACAGUCGUUAAUUUAUUUGUAACUAGGGCUACGAAAUUCCAAAUUAUGUGCCGUUAAUUUUCCAUGAAAAUAGACUCGUAUAUCCUCUAUCCACAAAAUUUUCAGAAUUUUUAGUUUGGCCAAUCAAUAACAGAUUUUUCUUAAAAUUUCCCCUAUUUUACUGCUUGACUACUCCGACUACUCUUCACUAAGUAUUUAAUUUCUCAUUGUACCGAAUUCAAAAUAUGUUUUCGUUUAUUUUUUUUGAAACUAGACUCAUUAAGGAGUCUAAGCAUAUAAUUUUAUCUUAUAAUCAUUUUUGUACUAUUUAUGAUGAUUUUCCAAAUACUGAACAGGGGAUUUCGGAGCCAUUCUGACUCUGUCUCACACAACCUUGAAAAUCUCAUUACCGUCAACCCCUUUGCUUACACGAUUUCUUUUAUACGAAACUAGACGUAUCAAGAUUUAAUUACUUAAUUUAUUCAGCCUUUAACUCAACUCCCACAAUUUACGGUAAUUUUUCCAAAACAAGCUACGGCUGCUGUCCCUAGAAGAUUUAUACAAUUUAAUCUGUAAAGUUCUCUUUCACAUAUUUAAAACCUAAUAUCAUAUAUGCCGUCAUUUAGAAAAGUCAUUGACCUUAACGUAUAUACAUAACUCAUAUUCAUCCCGUUUUAAAACUUAAAACUUACAAAGGAAUCAAACUCAAUUACUUAAGAACUUACCAUUGAGUUUAAAACAUAUCAUCAUAUAUAAGUACUUCUUAUUAUCACAUACAAAUCAUAAUUUAAAUAUCACUUUUCUAAUAACCAAUCGGCUAAGGCUCAUAGAAGUAACUUAUUCUUUAUCAUUUUACUAUAGGUAAUUACACCAAUUCAUAGUCCCAUCUUUACCCGUAUUCCAUAUCAUUCUUCAUUAUAACUAAACUUAUAUGCUAGAAACUUACCUUAAGAGUUGUCGACGACUAUAAUUCUAUGGCUAUUCGCUUAGUUUUGUCUUCCCUUUUUCCGACUUUUGUCCUUGAUGCUCUUGAGCUAAUGAUUAACAAAUUUACAAAUUAAAAAAAAUUCUACCAUGACGAUUAUAGCCGAAUAACAUAGACUAAGAAAUUAAUGUACAUAUAAAACGUAUACAUAUAUAAUUAGCUCAACCUUCAAUAAUUCAAUUUGCUAAUUAAAACAUAGAAAUUUAUAACCAAUUCAAAAUUCCUUAACAACGGCCGAAUAUCAAAAGGGCUAUCGAAGGACAUCAUCAACUAACUAACAAGCUUCAAUUGUAAUUCAAAACUUAAGUUCACAUUCGGCCAUUAUAAGCAAAACAACCAUUCAAAGCUCACUUCAAUUAUUUAACAAAUAAAACUAAUGUUUAAUACUAUCUCCCAAUUUGGUAUGAGUUACCGAAUGAAAUUAAACUCCUAAUUCAUGCACUAAAAUCACAUUCGGCACAAGCAAACUUCAUUUCAAUUAUGCCACUCUUAAACUUAUCCAUAAUACCCUAAGUUCAUUUAGUAGCUAGGCAACAAUUAUACAAAAACAACAAGCAUUUAACAACAAUGUACUUAACCAAUUCCUUAAGCAUACAUUCGGCAAUAUAUAUAUUAAUGACUAAAACACUUAGGCCAAUUCUAAAACAUCCACAAAUCUUCAUGCUUACAUGCCAUAACCGUAUGGUUCUUAUCACACUUGGACCACAAAAUGCAUAAAUUUCACAAAUUCUAAUUACUAUCAUAAGCUCAAUUUCGGCUAACACUCAAUUAAAUACUUACAAUUUAGCACUAAUUUAGCAUUUCAACAUAGCCGAUUGUCAUUAAGCAAUUAAGCCACAAACAUUUAAUUUUACCAAGCUCAACUCAUCUAUAAUCAACCCUCAAUACACUAAAGCAUCAAAAACAACAUCAAAGAAAUACAAACAUCCAUGACCGAAUGUCAUCUUCAUAACUUUACAAAAACAUUUGCCAUGAGCUAGCUUCUAUACUUGAUGACCACUCCAAAUAUACAAAGAUUUUCAAUGAAAGAGCAUUAACAUACCUUAAUCCACUUAAAGGUGACCAAAUGCCUUAACUUUAAUUUCUUUUUUUCUUUCUUUAGGUACGGCAAUGGAGGAAGAAAAAGAUGAACCAACUUUGUUUUUAUCACCCAUUUCUUUUAAUAUAAGUUCAUAUUUCAUAUUAUUUAUUCAUUUAACAUUUAAUUUAUUAAUAUAAAAGGCAUAAAAUGUCCAUCAUCCACUAACCUUGCCGUCCACUAACUUAAGGAAGGAAUAUUUAACAUGCAAGUCCCCAUAUUUUAAACCAUACAAUAUUUGGCCACUACAAAUGAACCUAUCACAUUUUCAAGUUUCUCACAUAAGUCCUUUUUAAUAAUUCCACAUUCAAAUGACAAAAUUAAGACACGAUACUUUCACACAUGAAACUUUACAUAUAAUAAACAUAGAAAAGAAAAUUUAUAUAAUUUUGUGACUCGAUUUUGUGGUCCCGAAACCACUUUCCGACCAGGGUGAAAUUAGGGCUAUUACAACACUCCCCCUCUUUAGGGAUUUUCGUCCCUGAAAAUCUUACUAGCGACUACGUUAGGAUAACGUCCUCUUGUUUUAAAACAAAUACAUAACAUCAACUCAGAUAUUCAUAACCGACAUUUUCAUUCAUAUAUAUAUCUAAGCUGUAACAUGGCCGAAAGUAUACAUGUUCUUAAACAUCCUAAUGAAUAUCCUUUAUAACAUUAUCAUAUCUAAAUAUUCAGCUUAACUUAUUUCCAAGAGAAGAUCAACUUCCAUGUACCUGAACAUUUAGUUCAUUCAAUACAUCCAAUCAUAUUUAAAGUUACCCGUAUACAGUCGAAUAGGCAUAAAGCUUAACACAAGUGAUGCCAGUGUACUAAACACGGUCUUACACACUAUCACAAAUCAAUGCCGUCGUCCUAGACGAGAUCUUACAUGAAACGAAAUCCACACACACAGUGCCCACUAACCGAUCUCGCACACAUAGUGCUCAGUUAAAGAAUUCGCACACACAGUGCCUCAAUUCAUUCGCACGCAUAGUGCCUAUAUUCAUUCGUUAUUACACAUUGAAAUAACUUAACCAAGUCUAUAAAACAUCAUAUAAGUAUACUUUAAACGUGUCCUUUUGUUUAACUUUGAAUUCAUAUAGUAAUGAACACUUAAACUUUGCUCGAAUCACCGGCAUUAAGCCUGCUAGGCAUGAAGGCCUGAUUACACAUCACCGGCACGAAUGCCCUUCAGGACUUAGCCCGGAUGUAACACCAGCACAAAUGCUCUUCGGGACUUAGCCCGGAUACAUCACUAGCACGAAUGCUCUUCGGGACUUAGCCCGGAUAUAACACCAGCACGAAUGCUCUUCGGGACUUAGCCCGGAUACAUCACUAGCACGAAUGCUCUUCGGGACUUAGCCCGGAUAUAUAUAACUCUCAAUUCUCAUGUAUAUAUAUAUAACAAUGCACAUUAGUAUAUCAUUUACAUUACUUGAAUACAAACACAACAUGCUUAUCGACCAUUCAACUUUCAGUUCCAUAGCCACAUACAAAGAUCACAUUUAUAGUCAUAACACACUUUCAAAAUUGCAUCACUUAUACCCUUAUAAUUCAAUCCAAAUCAAAAUUCAAAUACAAGUACAUGAUACGUACCUAAUCAACUUAAUAAUUUAAGCAUAUCCAAGGGAAGUUAUAUCGCAAAUUCUCAUAGUCAGAAGCUUGCUACAGCUCGAUCGGGAUCAAGAUUCAUUACAAUACAACAAACACAUUUCAAUAGUCAAAAAUCAUCACACUAUCAUUUUAUCACUUUAUGGCAUGUAUAAAUAGACUCACGCGUGCUACGUUAGUCCUAGAAUCGACUAAACCAUAGCUCUGAUACCAAUAAAAUGUAACACCCCAAUCCCGUAUCCGUCACCGGAAUAGGUAAAGGGGCAUUACUUGACUUGAAACUCAUAUCAGAACAGUAAAUUUUUUUUUUGAACAUUUCUUUAGAUAAGUACUAAAGACAGCCAGGGAUACAAUUUAAACUUCUAUAAGUACACAUUCAAAAGAUGCCAUUUUCGCAUGGCUUAUAUACAUUAACCAAAAUAUUCUUCGGCCACUGGUCUAUUCUAUACAUGCCAUAAAAUAAUUCAAAACAUAACAGUAACAAGCAGUGGAUAGUGAUAGUGUGACUAGUUGCUGACGAUCCCCGAGCCUGUAGCUUUGAAAUGAGAUCUAUAAAACAGAGGAAACAAAGUAAACAGAGUAAGCAUUACAAUGCUUAGUAAGUUUUAAGCAGUGUCAACAGAUAACAAUUAAAUUAUAACAUAGUUGUUCGUAUUUUUAUUUCACUCUUCCUUCGGGCAUACCAUCCCUUUACCGAAUAUGCACAUCUCAUCAUAUACAAUAGGCAGAUAAACUUUCACAUAAAAGUGAGCUCAUGUGACAUAGAUACAUUGUAUAAUUUCACAUAACCUCUCACACUGAUCCGGUGUCACAUAAUCAUAGGAAUAGUCUCAUAGAUUGCUCACGUAUGCAUCACAUAACUACCUUAUGAUUUAGUUCAAAUCAAGCUCACAUAUAAACUUGGAGUACAUACCUGUUUAACCUUUCGCAUUGAAUAUAUUUAUAAGCAAUUCUUAUUGCGAAGUCUUAUAGCUUUAACCUCUACUCGGAUUAUCGGCGAGACCUUUAGCUCAGAUGAAAUCUCCACACGAAGUCAGCGGGUCUUAACCCAGACAUAGUCACCACAUAUGGUCAUCUGGUCUUUAAUCCCAAGUUUACAUCAUAGAGUUUCAUGCAUAUUUAUUCACAUGUUACAACAUUCACAUCGACUAUCAUAUUUGUAAUUCAUUUACCUCAUCAAAUAUCUAAUAAAACACACCUUCCGCCGUCUGUCAUUUGGCCACAAUAUAUAUAUACACAUCUCAUACAUAUCUCACAUUAGCCAUUCGGCUUUACCUCAUAUCCAUCUCAUACACGUUUCGCAUUAGCCAUUCGGCUUUACCUCAUAUCCGUCCAUCUCAUACACGUUUCGCAUUAGCCAUUCGGCUUUACCUCAUAUCCAUCUCAUACACGUUUCGCAUUAGCC